UUCAAAUAACAGUCCGAUUUUGGUUUUUGGAAAUUCCUUUUUUCAUUUCUCCGUUUGAAGAUCUACAUUAAAAGAAAGACAGGUUGGUCACGUGACCCGGAAGUUAUAUUAAAUACAGCCUAUCAAAAUAAUAGCCAAGGUUUUAAUUAGAACGGCCAUAAUGCAGCACUAACGUUACACCAGAGUAACGUUAGAAGAAAAAAAAUCAAUAAAUAAAUAGGCUUAUAUAAACCUGGACCGAAAGAAAUAUGUUAGCAACAGUUUAUUACAGUGAUUUAAUAUCGUGCCUAUCCACGUACACAUCGUCACGUUUAAUGAGCGCAUUGUUUGGUUCAAUACAGUACUAAGAACUUAUUGUGUGUGCAGAGUUGUUACUGUUAGCGCUAUAUUAUGUAAUUAAAUUAAUAUUUAAUGUUGUUUCCACCGUAUGGACCAAACUGUUACCCCUUUCUACCAGCAGGUGGCAGUAUUUAAACGACUGACUGUAUUGUGCCUUUGGCAACUGUUUUAAAUCAAGAUUACUGAUACAGAUGUAUUAAUUGAUGUUCAUUUCAUUUUUUUAUAUUAUUUGCAACCUAGUUAUCAUCACCGUCUGCAUGCCCUUCUGUUUUAACCUGAUUCACUGCUAUCAUCUCCAUGCUGGUAUGUUGAAAUCAGAAAUGUCCUAAUGUAGGCCAUUUAGUCAAAACAAUGAUUUACCAGUGUGCUAUAUACUGUGUGAAUCUUUCUUCUCUAUACACAUUCCAGUGUGUAUAACAUACAACACUCCCAUUGUGUCACGCAAGUGAAGAUAAGCCAUAAAGGUCUUAAACAUUUAUUCAACAUAAUAGCACAGACAUGCUUUCAAAGACAUUGCAUGUGCAAUAUAUGGUUGCAGAACAUUUACCGUGAAGUCCUAAGGCUUAUAAUUCUGUUUAGUAUAAUUGCUUCUAUAUACAGUUCAUGGAGAUCUCUGCUAAUGAGUUUAUGAUUUGAAUCAUGUGUGUUAAAUAAGGGAGACAUACAAAAUGUGCAGAGCAGUGGGAUCCAGGAAUAACAUUGAGAACCACUGGUCUACAGGACCAGAGAAGACAGCAAACCAUGCAGAAGAGUAAAACCAUGGUUAAUUUUACGCAGACCCCAAAGGAUACUAAAGGACAGUACCUGCCCAGCCACAACCUGUUCACCCUGCUGCCUUCUGGAAACAAUAGAAGUUUCUGCUGCCAGACUGUAGAGCAGCUCCCCCCCCCCAAGUUAUCAGACUGGUAAACUCUAGUUCAUCCUUAGCACUCCCCCACUGAUUAUAAUUUAUUUCUGUUUAUUAUAAUUGGUUCUAUAUUAAUGUAUAUUGUCUGCUAUAGCAAAAGCAAGUUACAAACUCAAUUAAUACUUUAUAUUAUAUAACCUGUUACAUUGUGACAAAAUACAUCUACCCUCCUACUUUAAAGAAGAAUAAAGUGAAUGUUUUGGAAAUGCCAAGUCAAAAGUUCUGACCUUAAAAUUAUUGAAAUGUUGGGGAAGGAUGAGGAAGCAAGCAGCUCAUGUGAGGAAACCCACCAAUAUUGGUGCUAAAGCUGUUCUGUACAGAGCAAUGGGCAAAUAUUCAUCCAAGCCAAUAAGCAGGAUUGCUCAAAAGUUACUGGAAACGUUUUGUUGCAAUUAUUGCUGCUUUACUCAGCAUGGACAGCUUGUUUUUAGUAAUGCAAUUAUGUUUUUGGACUUUCUUUUUAGGACCUUGUAAAAUGUUCUAACUUUAGGGCUUAACUGUAAAUGUUCUGCAACCAUAGAUUGCACAUGCAAUGUCUUUGAAAGCAUGUCUGUGCUAUAUAUGUUGAAUAAAUGUUUAAAACUUG